rnacentral:rRNA from 1 species
GGCGUAAAACGUGUUAAAGCACCAUACCAAAUAGGGUUAAAUUCUAACUAAGCUGUAAAAAGCCAUGAUUAAAAUAAAAAUAAAUGACGAAAGUGACCCUACAAUAGCCGACGCACUAUAGCUAAGACCCAAACUGGGAUUAGAUACCCCACUAUGCUUAGCCCUAAACACAGAUAAUUACAUAAACAAAAUUAUUCGCCAGAGUACUACUAGCAACAGCUUAAAACUCAAAGGACUUGGCGGUGCUUUAUAUCCUUCUAGAGGAGCCUGUUCUAUAAUCGAUAAACCCCGAUAAACCUCACCAAUUCUUGCUAAUACAGUCUAUAUACCGCCAUCUUCAGCAAACCCUAAAAAGGAAAAAAAGUAAGCGUAAUUAUGAUACAUAAAAACGUUAGGUCAAGGUGUAACCUAUGAAAUGGGAAGAAAUGGGCUACAUUCUCUACACCAAGAGAAUCAAGCACGAAAGUUAUUAUGAAACCAAUAACCAAAGGAGGAUUUAGCAGUAAACUAAGAAUAGAGUGCUUAGUUGAAUUAGGC